CAGCUCCUUGUCUCAGAUGUCAAACAGGGGAACCCUGCCAUGUGGGAGGGCGUAUUUAAUUUGCAGGCAGCAGAAUGCGUAUUGAACACAUGUGCAACUCCUCAGCGCUGAGCCUUGGGGAGCUGGAAGAAAAGAAUCUAGCUGGGAGAAGGAGAAUAACUGUGCACUGCCAAUCAGCGAUGCCUGGGCCUUAUUUUUAUGCAGGCAACUUCCAAAGAUACUGGAGCCCAUCCAAUAAACAACAGUGCUGUGACUCUUCCAUUGACUGAGUUCAGAGAUGGGCUUGGCCCAUCAUACGCCAUGCAUCUCUCCUUCCUUUUAAAGCAGCUGAACAGGUUAUGUUCUUUCUCUGAGCUGAAAGAAGAGGAACCUAAUCAUGGCGCUGCAAACCCUGUAGACUACAUACCACCACAGCCUUCCCAACCCUUGUCCAGGCACUCUGCGCGCAGGUUCUUUAAUGUGACGCAUUCUGUGUAUACAACAAAGCAGGCACCACAAUCUUAAUGGAGCAGUUUUUCUUCUGCGUAUAGUCGGAUUUAUUAAUUCUUUAUAACAAUGAAAUCUCUAUUAAUAAUGGCUCUGGGAUCUAGCUGUGAAGCUCAGUAAUGAGAUUCCCUGUACCUGCU